UUAAUUAGGAUUAAUUGGGAGCUUAACUAGAUCAUUGGUUCAAAGUCGGGUAGUUGAAAUGAGUGUGCACCUUUGAAAAUUCAGUUAACUCGUGUUUUUCCCCAAACUUUGGUCCCAUUUAUCUCCUAUUCCGUGAAUCAUUUCACCAAAACUUCUAUACAAGAAGUGUAGCCCUACAAUCCAUCUUUAACUUUUGUAUUGAUCGAUUGAAACGUUGCAAUAUGAUUUUGGAAGGAACGAAGGCUCAACUUGCUGUCUUUGCCGGCCAUGGACACUGAACUUUGGUUCAGUUCAACCGUGGCAGCAGCAGCAGCUCGCCACGCGGUUGCAGGCGUGUGGCCAUCGCCGUGCGCCCAAUCGACGAGCAGACCGAGUCCGGCACGUCUCUCCCUCCCUCUCCCGAAGUCUCCAGCACCGCCAGCUCUUUUCCUCUCCCUUCUUUCCGUCUCUACCUCGAGCAGAGUCAACGAGCCGAGCAGAGCCCCGUCGCCGACGCUGCGCCGGCCAGCUCUCGCCGUCCCGCGCCUCAAUUCCUCACGCCCCAACCCUCAUCGCCUCGCCUCGGAGCUCCUCCGUCCCUUCCCGAGCCCGGCCGCGCCCUAUCCCGGCCGGAAUCGACACCCCACACCACCAGACUCCAUUAAAAUUUCGUCGAAACUCAGGCCGCCGUCGAACUCCACCUCCCGGUCACCGUUCCCACCAACCCACGGCUGAAAUCGACUCCCCUCGACUCCCUAAAGCUCAUACUCUCCUCGUUCUUGCGCGUUCCCGUUGUUUCCGCGCUCGUUCUACAGCCAUGCCAUCGAUGGCAUGCUGCUGCUCGUCGCGAGCCGCGCACACGCGCCCCUGCGCCGCACCGCCGAGCACCCCCAGUCCGCCCGGCUUUGUUGAACCCUCCCAUGGCCGCCCCAUCACCAACCUGUCUCGCCGCAGGCGAGGGCGCCGCCGCCAUUGCCGCUCGUGCUGCUGCUCCCGUCGCCGGCCCUCCUCCGGCCACCUCGGCAUCAACCAAGAUCACCCAGAGGUACGAUAGAUGAACCACGUGAAGGACGUGAUAUUGGAACCGAACACGAAGACGAUGUUUGGUGGACAUAUCCAGAAGAGGCAAAGAACCAGGAGUACAUGCUUGGACCGGAAUACUCGCCAAGCGAGUGUCAUCUAACUAACACUGACUCAGUGUUAAUCCCAGGCAAGCCCCGGAGCAUAACUUAUUAUUUUAACUUAUGAAAUGUUAUAUAUGUAUUUACUUGCUUAUGCAUUAAGUUUCUAGUCAUUGGAUGAAACCCUAGUUGCAUAAUUCCUAGGUUCCAUUGGUCGGAAUACUAGUAUGUUUAUGUGGUUAUCCUUGCCAUGCUAAAAUUAGGAUUCGGUAGAAGUCGAGUAAUGUCCUGUUACUCGCGAGAUAUAGGAUGGCUUUAUGAUUGAUUAUGGAAUAUUGGAAUAUGGA